GGCCUUUCCCCACCCACGGGCUAACUGACCUUUUUGUUACCAGAGGGCUCUCGAAAGGGCAUGUGCAUCGAGGAGAUGGGACCUUUUGGGUCGUUGAAGAGUCUUCAGAAACUAUAAACGGAUUGUUCGGGUCUCAAUUUCAUGGUGGUGUUGUUCAAAACGACGAUGGAGGAAAUGCUCGCGCCGCCUGAGCUCAGUUAGUAGAUGAAUUGGCUCAACUUGCCCAUAACAAGGCCAAAACUAAUUCCGGGUUUUGGUUGCAGCUGGUGUUUCGGCAGCUCUCCAAGCCUUUCACUAAUGUAAUUCUGUAUGGCAAAGAGUGUGAUUUCAAGUCAACCCUUCAGGCUCCACGCAUUCCUCUGCAAUGGUGGCUACUGCAACAACGCUUGGACUUGAAAUGGGACUGUCGGAUUCAAUAUUUGGCUUGACUGUUGUUUAUGCAGGCGUUGUGAUUUAUGAUGCCCAGGAUUUGCGGUUCUAAAGUACUUGCAAUUUAACUGUUGGUUUUAUGAGGUCUGAUUAAAGAGGAACAAAAAAGUGACUCUCUACUCAUUGAUUACUUUAGCAUAUGGGAUUAUCUGCUGAGAAUGCUCACCAACAUAAUGUUGAUGUUACAACAAUAUACGAGCUAAUUAGCUUUUAUCUAUUGGGGUUUAGUCCAGAACUUACUUUUAGACGGAUGACAGAAAGGGCACCAACACAUUAGAGUAUUUCCUGUCUGACAGUCUAACAAUCUGCCACAUAGAUUCAUUAGGAAGGAUAUAUUUUACUUGCGUAUGAGAUAGUGAUGAUACAAAAUAGGUCUGUUUCAAUUAGUUAGAAGUAUUAAUGUGAGCGCAUGCUGAUUGUAGAUUUAUACUCUGCAAGUUGAGAGGCUGCAUAGUAUCUCUCUGUUCCAUCUUAGUCAUCAGGAAACAGAUGCUUCAGAAUACUAUGCAAGAACAGAUACAGUACUAGUUUUCAGGAGAAAACAAUCAAAAUAAAGAAAGAUUUUAUCUUUUUGUGACCCCAGUAAAAAUAUUGCAUUCUUCUUAUUCGAUGCUGAUGAUAGAGACCUUUAUUCUUUCUUGGAGCCUCUUCUUCUGCUUGUUAUUAGGAUGUUUAACUGUUGGCAUCCCUAGUUUAAACCUGAUCAAGUGCCAUUCUACUGACAAUAAUAGAUAGGGCAGUUCUAUGCUUUUGAAAUCCAUACCGCACCUUGCCAGUAUUUAUACUUGGUGAGAAGUUUAUGAAUUGUGAAUGGAAUGUUUGAUAAAUUUGUUCUGGCCGUGUUUUGUACACUUAACCAUGAAUGUAGGAAGUUGUCCUCGGUGUUGAUGUUUCUGAUUGAAAACCUAUUCGAUUUAGAUUUCUCCUCCUAUGAGCAUAUGCUACAACAGCUAGUGUGUAGGAUAGAAUAAAUCCUUUUCUAAUUUAUUUUUGGUUAUGCUUUUCAGUGAUUUGAUAUACGACUUUUUGCUUGUUUUGAACAAGCAGUUAACAGAGAUGUCUCCACCAUCUUGACUGUUUUGCAAUUUGGAGGCAAUACAUGUGAAGUUUCUCGACCGGAAGACGAAGAUUUAUCUUUACUGUAAUAGUCCGUUUAUAUUGUUUUGACACACUUUCUUUAUGAACUUCGUAAGUAUUUUUUUUUUCUUCGGGUAUACAUUUACUUUUUGUCUUCUAUAAGAUGUAAAGAUCCAACAUCUUGAAGCAAGCUAGCUUUGCUGAGCAAGUAAAAGAAAUGCAUCACUUCAAGUUGACGACACAAACAAAUGUUAAAAAUUCCAAAUUUUACUAUAUUAGGUUUUCUGGCAAUCAA